rnacentral:rRNA from 1 species
UACAGGGGGGGCAAGCGUUGUUCGGAAUUACUGGGCGUAAAGGGCUCGUAGGUGGCCAACUAAGUCAGACGUGAAAUCCCUCAGCUUAACUGGGGAACUGCGUCUGAUACUGGAUGGCUUGAGUUUGGGAGAGGGAUGCGGAAUUCCAGGUGUAGCGGUGAAAUGACGUAGAUAUCUGGAGGAACACCGGUGGCGAAGGCAGCCCCCUGGGUCAAGACUGACGCUCAUGCACGAAAGCGUGGGGAGCAAACAGG